rnacentral:rRNA from 1 species
CCCUUAGAUGUUCUGGGCCGCACGCGUGCUACACUGAGUGGAUCAGCGGGUCAGGUUGCGCGAAAGUGUUUCCUAAUCUUUAAAUCCGCUCGUGAUGGGGAUUGACGGUUGCAAUUUUCCGUCAUGAACGAGGAAUACCUUGUAAGCGCGGGUCAUCAUCCCGCGCUGAAUACGUCCCUGCCCUUUGUACACACCGCCCGUCGCUCCUACCGAUUGAAUGAUCCGAUGAAUAUCAUGGAUUGAGGAUGCAAGUAGGUUCGCCUAUCUUCAUCUUCGAGAAGUGAAGUAAAUCUUAUCAUUUAGAGGAAGGAGAAGUCGUAACA